UACGGGGGGAGCAAGCGUUGUUCGGAUUUACUGGGCGUAAAGGGCGCGUAGGCGGCCACAACAAUUCACUUGUGAAAUCUCCGGGCUUAACCCGGUAGCGGCCAAGUGAUACUGUUGGGCUAGAGUGCGGAAGGGGCAACUGGAAUUCUCGGUGUAGCGGUGAAAUGCGUAGAUAUCGAGAGGAACACCUGCGGCGAAGGCGGGUUGCUGGGCCGACACUGACGCUGAGGCGCGAAAGCUAGGGGAGCGAACGGG
rnacentral:rRNA from 1 species